rnacentral:rRNA from 1 species
AGAUUGAACGCUAGCGGGAUGCUUUACACAUGCAAGUCGAACGGCAGCGCGGACUUCGGUCUGGCGGCGAGUGGCGAACGGGUGAGUAAUAUAGUCGGAACGUGCCCAGUAGCGGGGGAUAACUACGCGAAAGCGUGGCUAAGUACCGCAUACGCCCUACGGGGGAAAGGGGGGGAUCGCAAGACCUCUCACUAUUGGAGCGGCCGAUAUCAGAUUAGCUAGUUGGUGAGGUAAAGGCUCACCAAGGCGACGAUCUGUAGCUGGUUUGAGAGGACGACCAGCCACACUGGGACUGAGACACGGCCCAGACUCCGUACGGGAGGCAGCAGUGGGG